GAGAGCCGGAUGAUGCGAAAGUAUCAAGUCCGGUUCGGAGGGGGGUCUGUGGAAAAGUGCCUGUAAAGGUAACUCGCCACUUUCCUACCCUAC
rfam:Chloroflexi bacterium RBG_16_47_49 RBG_16_scaffold_423, whole genome shotgun sequence.